UACGUAGGGGGCUAGCGUUGUCCGGAAUCAUUGGGCGUAAAGAGCUCGUAGGCGGUUUGUCGCGUCUGCCGUGAAAGUCCGGGGCUCAACUCCGGAUCUGCGGUGGGUACGGGCAGACUAGAGUGAUGUAGGGGAGACUGGAAUUCCUGGUGUAGCGGUGAAAUGCGCAGAUAUCAGGAGGAACACCGAUGGCGAAGGCAGGUCUCUGGGCAUUAACUGACGCUGAGGAGCGAAAGCAUGGGGAGCGAACAGG
rnacentral:rRNA from 1 species